AGGUAAGAAGAUUGAGUUAACCUUAAUUAUUGCCAACAACUUGCAAGACAGCGUGGAUGGUCAGAGCGCCAGACAAAAGCACAGAAGUGAACCAGGAACUUACAGCUCCUUUAAGCCCAGAGAUGGCAACAGGAGGAAAUCAUCAGGGGACAAUAGCAGGAAUGGCAAGUUUGUUGAUGGCAGCUCUCUCACAAUCCGUACAACCCAAUUUCUGAAGAGUACCACAAGAAAAGACCCUCUAAAGAGAACGUGAAGGUGGAACGUAAUAGACUGGGCCUUGAAGGAACUACAGCAGUACAAGCAGAAAAUCAUAAUUC